AUAUAAGAAAUUACCAAUGCUGAUUCUAGAACAAUACAACAAAAAUAAAUACAUUCAACACAAACUUUAGCAAAGCAUUGUGGUUCCACAAUCCUCACAGUACAUCACACUGUAUGUUAUUCCUUCCAAUAGUUUUUAGAUCAUAAUCCUGGCUAACAUGCAAAAGUGGAUACUACAAAGCCGAGAGAUUGAUAUAAAGUCAAAAGUAAAUGUUACACCAAAAAAUAGUAGAACUAAAUCUACUGCAAUACGGAAUUAGAUGAUUGAGCCAAAAUCCCAUAAGAUAAUAUGCUAAGAAUGCAUUGACUUACAAUUACUAAGCUUUCCCAAAAUGGACGUCUACGCGGAAAGCACCCAAUAGUUAGUCC
rnacentral:lncRNA from 1 species